UCGCAGCCCCGGACCAAGGCGCCCGCCGGAGGACCAACCAAAACUCUUUUUGUAUACCCCCUCGCGGGUUUUUUAUAAUCUGAGCCUUCUCGGCGCCUCUCGUAGGCGUUUCGAAAAUGAAUCAAAACUUUCAACAACGGAUCUCUUGGUUCUGGCAUCGAUGAAGAACGCAGCGAAAUGCGAUAAGUAAUGUGAAUUGCAUAAUUCAGUGAAUCAUCGAAUCUUUGAACGCACAUUGCGCCCGCCAGUAUUCUGGCGGGCAUGCCUGUCCGAGCGUCAUUUCAACCCUCGAACCCCUCCGGGGGGUCGGCGUUGGGGAUCGGCCCUGCCUCUUGGCGGUGGCCGUCUCCGAAAUACAGUGGCGGUCUCGCCGCAGCCUCUCCUGCGCAGUAGUUUGCACACUCGCAUCGGGAGCGCGGCGCGUCCACAGCCGUUAAACACCCAACUUCUGAAAUGUUGACCUCGGAUCAGGUAGGAAUACCCGCUGAACUUAAGCAUACAAA
rnacentral:rRNA from 1 species